UCGUUACUCGGAAUUACUGGGCGUAAAGCGUGCGUAGGUGGUUUGUUAAGUCUGAUGUGAACGCCCUGGGCUCAACCUGGGAAUUGCAUUGGAUACUGGCGAGCUCGAGUGCGGUAGAGGGUAGUGGAAUUCCCGGUGUAGCAGUGAAAUGCGUAGAGAUCGGGAGGAACACCAGUGGCGAAGGCGACUACCUGGACCAGCACUGACACUGAGGCACGAAAUCGUG
rnacentral:rRNA from 1 species